rnacentral:rRNA from 13 species
UGUAGAGUUUGAUCCUGGCUCAGAUUGAACGCUGGCGGCAUGCCUUACACAUGCAAGUCGAACGGCAGCGCGGGCUUCGGCCUGGCGGCGAGUGGCGAACGGGUGAGUAAUAUAUCGGAACGUACCCUGGAGUGGGGGAUAACGUAGCGAAAGUUACGCUAAUACCGCAUACGAUCUAAGGAUGAAAGUGGGGGAUCGCAAGA